UGGGGAAUUUUGGACAAUGGGCGAAAGCCUGAUCCAGCAAUGCCGCGUGUGUGAAGAAGGCCUUCGGGUUGUAAAGCACUUUUGUCCGGAAAGAAAUCCUUGGCUCUAAUACAGUCGGGGGAUGACGGUACCGGAAGAAUAAGCACCGGCUAACUACGUGCCAGCAGCCGCGGUAAUACGUAGGGUCAAGCGUUAAUCGGAAUUACUGGGCGUAAAGCGUGCGCAGGCGGUUUGCUAAGACCGAUGUGAAAUCCCCGGGCUCAACCUGGGAACUGCAUUGGUGACUGGCAGGCUAGAGUAUGGCAGAGGGGGGUAGAAUUCCACGUGUAGCAGUGAAAUGCGUAGAGAUGUGGAGGAAUACCGAUGGCGAAGGCAGCCCCCUGGGCCAAUACUGACGCUCAUGCACGAAAGCGUGGGGAGCAAACAGGAUUAGAUACCCUGGUAGUCCACGCCCUAAACGAUGUCAACUAGUUGUUGGGGAUUCAUUUCCUUAGUAACGUAGCUAACGCGUGAAGUUGACCGCCUGGGGAGUACGGUCGCAAGAUUAAAACUCAAAGGAAUUGACGGGGUCAUAGCUGUUUCCU
rnacentral:rRNA from 1 species